UUGCUGAAUUUUUUUUGCUUACUUCUUUUUUAGCUUGAACUAACAACUUCAUCCAAUUAUGGUUAUUGGCACUGGCUGUAGUCGUUGUUUAGUGUAAUCUGGAAGGGUCAUCAUGCGUACUUCCACUUACGAAGCAUUGCUUCCGAGUGUAAUCUGAAAAUUAGAAUUUAAAGUAAUAUUGUUUCUCUUUGCUUGUAAUGUAAGAUGAAUAAUUCAUGAAAUAUCAUUUGACUUAUUUCUCGACUGCAGGAUGUGGUUAAUGUAAGAUGGAUAAUUCCUGAAAUAUGAAGGAUUUGUCGAUACAUAGUAGGUCUAAAAAAUUUAUCUUGCCGAAACUUGUACAUAUAUCUACCUCUUAAACGUUUUUUUUUGCUUCAUUCAUGUAUAUUUAUCUGCUAUCACAUUUUUAUGUUUGUGAGCCAAUCUUGGCACGGCUUGUGGUGCCUCCUUUAACUAGUGCUCCGUGGAACCCUGGCGAGGCGUCCCUUUGGCCUGCUCACUAACUCCAGUGAUAUGUCCAUUGUAAGGGAUUCAGACCAGAAAGGAGGGAGUUCUGAUUUACAAGUUGUAUUGCAGGGGUUUAUUCUUUACAGGAAACACCAAUCUUCCUGCUAAUUCUACUAAUGUGUAAGUAUAACUAUAGUUUAGAUCGUCUUACUGUGACGUUAUGUAAGGUUUCAGUUAAUAUCUGGUUCUAUGUAAUGGCACCUUCAGUAGUUUUUUUUAUGUGCAUUGUGUUGCUCUGUAAAGAAGACUAUCACUUAUCCCAUCCAUCUUUGUACACUUACCGUCGUAACCAGCUCACUUAGUAAUGCCCAUGGUCUCUCUA